rnacentral:rRNA from 1 species
CGUGCAGGUGGAUUAAUAAGUCACUCAUGAAAGCUCCCGGCUAAACUGGGAGAGGUUGAGCGAAACUGUUAAUCUAGAGUGGAUGAGAGUAAGUAGAAUUCCUUGUGUAGUGGUGAAAUGCGUAGAUAUAAGGAAGAAUACCAGUGGCGAAGGCGACUUACUGGCAUCCAACUGACACUCAGACGCGAAAGGCAUGGGUAGCGAACG